rnacentral:rRNA from 1 species
GUACCGUGAGGGAAAGGUGAAAAGAACCGUGAACAACGGAGUGAAAUAGAACCUGAAACCAUACGCCUACAAGCGGUCGGAGCCAGUUUACUGGUGACGGCGUGCCUUUUGCAUAAUGAGCCUACGAGUUACUGUUGCCAGCGAGGUUAAGGUAUUGAGUACCGGAGCCGCAGCGAAAGCGAGUCUGAAUAGGGCGCCAUAGUUGGUAGUAGUAGACGCGAAACCGUGUGAUCUACCCUUGGGCAGGCUGAAGUUUGGGUAACACCAAAUGGAGGGCCGAACCCGUUGACGUUGAAAAGUCUUGGGAUGACCUGAGGGUAGGGGUGAAAGGCCAAUCAAAC